GACGAACGCUGGCGGCGUGCUUAACACAUGCAAGUCGAGCGGUAAGGCCCUUUCGGGGGUACACGAGCGGCGAACGGGUGAGUAACACGUGGGUGACCUGCCCUCAGCUCGGGGAUAAGCCUGGGAAACCGGGUCUAAUACUGGAUAUGACUCCAUGACGCAUGUUGUGGGGUGGAAAGCCUUGUGCGGCUGAGGAUGGGCCCGCGGCCUAUCAGCUUGUUGGUGGGGUGAUGGCCUACCAAGGCGACGACGGGUAGCCGGCCUGAGAGGGCGACCGGCCACACUGGGACUGAGACACGGCCCAGACUCCUACGGGAGGCAGCAGUGGGGAAUCUUGCGCAAUGGGGCGAAAGCCUGACGCAGCGACGCCGCGUGAGGGAUGACGG
rnacentral:rRNA from 1 species